AUUGAACGCUGGCGGCAUGCCUUACACAUGCAAGUCGAACGGCAGCACGGGAGCUUGCUCCUGGUGGCGAGUGGCGAACGGGUGAGUAAUACAUCGGAACGUACCCUGAAGUGGGGGAUAACGUAGCGAAAGUUACGCUAAUACCGCAUAUUCUGUGAGCAGGAAAGAGGGGGAUCGCAAGACCUCUUGCUUUAGGAGCGGCCGAUGUCGGAUUAGCUAGUUGGUGAGGUAAAGGCUCACCAAGGCGACGAUCCGUAGCGGGUCUGAGAGGAUGAUCCGCCACACUGGGACUGAGACACGGCCCAGACUCCUACGGGAGGCAGCAGUGGGGAAUAUUGGACAAUGGGCGGAAGCCUGAUCCAGCCAUGCCGCGUGAGUGAAGAAGGCCU
rnacentral:rRNA from 1 species